rnacentral:rRNA from 1 species
UACGGAGGGGGCUAGCGUCGUUCGGAAUUACUGGGCGUAAAGCGCACGUAGGCGGCUUCGUAAGUUAGAGGUGAAAGCCCAGGGCUUAACCCUGGAAUUGCCUUUAAGACUGCAUCGCUAGAAUCGUGGAGAGGUGAGUGGAAUUCCGAGUGUAGAGGUGAAAUUCGUAGAUAUUCGGAAGAACACCAGUGGCGAAGGCGACUCACUGGACACGUAUUGACGCUGAGGUGCGAAAGCGUGGGGAGCAAACAGG